rnacentral:lncRNA from 1 species
UAUAUGUCUUUUAUUAUUAAAUAUAUUCCUUAUAUUCUAUGAAGGGCAUCUCUAUUUUGAGUGUGAUUCGAUAGGGUUUUUCCUUGCCUUCUCAACCUGUCUCUCACAUAUAACUCUCUAUAUUUUUAUACUUGCAAGAUAGAUAUAACGAAAAGAACGUCAUAAGGUGGUUCUUGAGGUUUCGGCCUUAUGACCCUGUCCAACGAGUUUUUAUGGUGUCUACAACCCAAAUAACAUCUCGGGAGAGUGUUACUUGAUGUGUGUUAAGGUUGUAGCACUUAAAUCCUCUAUGGUUUGAUGGGUAAUCGAGAAACACAUGGUGUAGAUCAGUCGGCUAGUUUGUGAAUCUUAAAGGAUGGUAUUAGUGGAUAGCAAAGGAAACCAAACACUCUUAGGUGGUCAUAUGUGGGAAACUGAUGAUAGAGGUGGAUGGUAGGGGUAGAGUUUUGGCAUGAUGCCAAAAGUUUUACGAGACAGAUGCUUGUGUCAAAAUGGUGUGCAUUAUGUUAUUGAUGGGGAAAAUUUUGCGCCCGCCUUUGCUGUUUUGUGAGGAUGUAUAAGGACAAGGGAAACAAAAAAGCAUGCCAUUGGUUUUGUAAAAUUGAUUUAAUGGUUGUUGUUGUAUUCUUGUCCAUUAUCACCAUAGAAACACUUUAUAAAAGUGUUAAAUUGGGUUUUAAUUAAUUAGUUGAAUUUAAAAAAGGUGGUGAAAACUUGUGAUCUGUGUACAAUAGCAUAUGUCCAAAGGAAGUUGGUUUCAUAAGUUGUUAUGACAACCAUU